rnacentral:rRNA from 1 species
AACGAACGCUGGCGGCAUGCCUAACACAUGCAAGCCGAACGAGACCUUCGGGUCUAGUGGCGCACGGGUGCGUAACGCGUGGGAACCUGCCCUUAGGUUCGGAAUAACUUCCCGAAAGGGAUGCUAAUACCGGAUAAUGUCUUCGGACCAAAGAUUUAUCGCCUUUGGAUGGGCCCGCGUAGGAUUAGCUUGUUGGUGGGGUAAUGGCCUACCAAGGCGACGAUCCUUAGCUGGUCUGAGAGGAUGAUCAGCCACACUGGGACUGAGACACGGCCCAGACUCCUACGGGAGGCAGCAGUGGGGAAUAUUGGACAAUGGGCGAAAGCCUGAUCCAGCAAUGCCGCGUGAGUGAUGAAGGCCUUGGGGUUGUAAAGCUCUUUUACCAGGGAUGAUAAUGACAGUACCUGGAGAAUAAGCUCCGGCUAACUCCGUGCCAGCCGCCGCUGUAA